CCUACGGGUGGCAGCAGUGAGGAAUAUUGGUCAAUGGUCGGGAGACUGAACCAGCCAAGCCGCGUGCGGGAGGAAGGUACAGAGUAUCGUAAACCUCUUUUGUCAGGGAACAAAGGCGGGGACGUGUCCCCGGAUGAGUGUACCUGAAGAAAAAGCAUCGGCUAACUCCGUGCCAGCAGCCGCGGUAAUACGGAGGAUGCGAGCGUUAUCCGGAUUUAUUGGGUUUAAAGGGUGCGCAGGCGGUGUAUUAAGUCAGCGGUAAAAUCCCGGGGCUCAACGCCGGCCAGCCGUUGAAACUGGUAGUAUAGAGUUGGAGAGAAGUAUGCGGAAUGCGCGGUGUAGCGGUGAAAUGCAUAGAUAUCGCGCAGAACUCCGAUUGCGAAGGCAGCAUGCCGGCUCCCGACUGACGCUGAGGCACGAAAGCGUGGGUAUCGAACAGGAUUAGAUACCCUUGUAGUC
rnacentral:rRNA from 1 species